rnacentral:rRNA from 1 species
UACGGAGGAUCCAAGCGUUAUCCGGAUUCAUUGGGUUUAAAGGGUGCGUAGGCGGAAUGAUAAGUCAGUGGUGAAAUCCUGCAGCUUAACUGCAGAACUGCCAUUGAUACUGUCAAUCUUGAGUACAUUUGAUGUGGGCGGAAUGUGUCAUGUAGCGGUGAAAUGCUUAGAUAUGACACAGAACACCGAUUGCGAAGGCAGCUCACAAAACUGUAACUGACGCUGAGGCACGAAAGCGUGGGUAGUCAAACAGGA